AAACCGUUCAGGGGUAAACCUAAGAAACCCAAAAGAUCGAACGGGGAGAUUCAUCGUCAGCGGCGCUGGCUUCGCGUCGGUGGGCGAUGUUCCGCGGAGCCCUUGCGGAUCCUACCGCGGACACGCUACCGUGCGUCGAUGUCCGGCGCUCGUCGUCGUGCACUUCUCCCCUAGUAGGACGUCGCGACCCGCUGGGUGUCGGUCUACGGCUCGGGUGCGUUGACUGGGCGUCGCCGGUAAAACGGCACGCGGCAAACCCCCGGUCGCCCGGCCGGCUGCCCGGCGGUACACGCAUGGUAUCAGGCCGCACUCUUCUCAAGUGUGCGUCGGGACCGUCGCAAGCGCGCGCCACGGUACUCGGAGGUUACGGACCUAGCGCCGUCCCCGGUCCUGGCCCGCUGUUGGUCGUACGGAACUCCUUCGACAGGCCUGCGAACGAUAUACCGGUCGGCGACGCUACUGCUUUGGGUACUCUUAGGA
rnacentral:rRNA from 2 species